GACGAACGCUGGCGGCGUGCUUAACACAUGCAAGUCGAACGGUAAGGCCCUUUCGGGGGUACACGAGUGGCGAACGGGUGAGUAACACGUGGGUGAUCUGCCCUGCACUUUGGGAUAAGCCUGGGAAACUGGGUCUAAUACCGAAUACACCUUGCUGGUCGCAUGGCCUGGUGGGGGAAAGCUUUUGCGGUGUGGGAUGGGCCCGCUGGCUAUCAGCUUGUUGGUGGGGUGAUGGCCUACCAAGGCGACGACGGGUAGCCGGCCUGAGAGGGUGUGCCGCCACUGUGGGACGGAGAUAAGGCACAGUCUGAGACGGGAAGCAGGGGUGGGGAAUUUUGCGCAAUGGGCGCAAGCCUGAUGCAGCGACGUCGCGUGAGGGAUGACGGCCUUCGGGUUGUAAACCUCUUUCAAUAGGGACGAAGCGUAAGUGACGGUACCUAUAGAAGAAGCACCGGCCAACUACGUGCCAGCCGCCGCGGUAAAAC
rnacentral:rRNA from 1 species